CUGUGAAUAUUCUCCUUGGUCUGAUUUUAUAAUAGUCAGGACAGGCUAAACAUUCACUAUAUUAAGACCAUGCUUGUGUCCCCAAACCUAGUUUUUUCCCUAGGUCUGGUUUUAUAAAUGGUGAUAAAC
ensembl:snoRNA SNORA72 Small nucleolar RNA SNORA72